GUGAUUCGAUUCCAAUUUAUUUAACAACUAAUCAUCAAUCUACGAACUCUCAAUUGAUUCUAGUUUGUUGUUUCAAAUCUCCUCCAUGUAAGGUUUUCUGAUUUGAAGUUGCCGUUUUUUUUAUUUCGGAGAUCAAGAAGAAUCAUCACUGUUUCGGAAGAAUAGCAACAGAAUCAAGGUGAUUUUCAGUUGGAUUGAAGAAUAAUUUAGGAGUAUGUGGAUUCAAUUCUGUAAAUCAGGUUAGAGAUAGUAUGUGGUUUUGCUGUAGUGUCCUUGUUGGAGCCAGAUAAACAAGUUAUGGUGCUAGGAGGCAAUAAGCAGGGAUGUCACUAAAAGUUCAGCUUGGCGUGAAGCAUAAUAUCAGGAACGUAUUUUCUUAAUUUUUUACAACAAUCGCUCAAGGAAUCAACACUAGAGACAUUAUUAAGCUUCGAGAUGCAGGAAUCUACACCUGCAAUGGAUUGAUGAUGGGUACCAAGAAGACUGUUGAUUCCAUUAGCUCUUUUUGGAGUUGAUUUCACUGGUUAGAGGGGAAAUUGCUGAGCGCCAGAUACGUAAGCAUUUUGGAAUCGAGGAAGAUAACAUUUUUAUUAGAAGAUAUCGUAG